CGGCUCCCGGUAAGCAACCAGACUUCCCACCGGCACUGCAGGACGGCACAACCCGGCAAAGUAGUCCAGCAAGGGAGAAGACACAAGGGAAAAGUGCAAGUGAACAUCAGUGACGAUGGCAGUAGCUUUCUGGGUGACGUGCUGCGUUUUGGUCUGCUCUUUGUUCUACGGUGCUGCGGACGGUCAUGGCGGCUUCUCCAAAGAGUUGGUACCCUCUGAUGAUGAAGGCCUGAAGCCGAAGGGAGACCUUGUGGCGCUGUUAGUGAGUCGCCAGGCUG